rnacentral:rRNA from 1 species
UACGUAGGGGGGCUAGCGUUGUCCGGAAUCAUUGGGCGUAAAGAGCGUGUAGGCGGCCCGGUAAGUCCGCUGUGAAAGUCGGGGGCUCAACCCUCGAAUGCCGGUGGAUACUGUCGGGCUAGAGUGCGGAAGAGGCGAGUGGAAUUCCUGGUGUAGCGGUGAAAUGCGCAGAUAUCAGGAGGAACACCAAUUGCGAAGGCAGCUCGCUGGGACGUGACUGACGCUGAGACGCGAAAGCGUGGGGAGCAAACAGG